rnacentral:misc_RNA from 1 species
AGUGUCAUGAACACCUCACCCCCUCGGGUUUCCGAUCGGGUGGACUUGGGCGCUGCCAGUUACAUGGCUCGCCUCAAAUGUAUUAGCGGUUGUUGACGUAAUAAGUUUCGUCUUGUCGACCGCUCCUAAUCUCCUUAGGGAUGUCUUCGGACACUUCAUGAUCUGACCUCAAAUCAGGUAGGACUACCCGCUGAACUUAA